rnacentral:rRNA from 1 species
CCUACGGGCGGCAGCAGUGGGGGAUAUUGCACAAUGGGGGAAACCCUGAUGCAGCGACGCCGCGUGUGUGAAGACGGUCCUCUGGAUUGUAAACCACUGUCCCCAGGGACGAAGCUGACGGUACCUGGGGCUGAAGCUCCGGCUAACUACGUACCAGCAGCCGCGGUAAUACGUAGGGAGCGAGCGUUGUCCGGAAUUACUGGGUGAAAGGGGAGCGUAGGCGGGACGGCAAGUUGGGUGUCAAAUCUACCGGCUCAACCGGUAGCCGCACUCAAAACUGCAGUUCUAGAGUGAAGUAGAGGCAGGCGGAAGUCCUAGUGUAGCGGUGAAAUGCGUAGAUAUUAGGAGGAACACCAGUGGCGAAGGCGGCCUGCUGGGCUUUUACUGACGCUGAGGCUCGAAAGUGUGGGGAGCAAACAGGAUUAGAUACCCCUGUAGUC